UCCCCUCGAGAGUCCAGAGCACGUACGUCUCCCCCUGCCCCUUCCGUGAGGAUUUUUUAUCCCCAAACACCCAAUCGCCGGUGAAAAAAACCAAAAAAAACCACAAGCCCUCCUCCCUCAAUCCCUAGCGCACCGCCGCUCGUCUCCCGUUCUCCACCAGCAGCGCCGCCGCACCCCAAUCCCCAACUCUUUCUUUCUUUCUCUCGCGCAUGGGGUUCCUAGAUCGGGUGUCGCCACCGCCCAAUUCUGACUCUUCCCCUCUGAUCAGGAUUUUUCUCAAUCGAGUCGCCGCCACGGAUGCACAUCUACCUGUGGAGGACUUCUCCGCAACAAUGGCGAGCGACCGUGGAGGCAAUGCAUGACCAAUCUGCGGCAGGAGGAAUGACCAGGCAUGGGCGAAGGCCGGCCCCGUGCUACUCCAUCGAUGGCUACUCGGAUCUGAGCUCGUCAAGGGACACGGCCCUGCCAAGGGGGAAGCCACAGCAGCCGUGGCGGCAACAGCUAUGUUGCUACGUACGUCGAGGAGGAGGAGCACUGGGACUCUGCAGGCAGCCCGUGGUUCUCAAGCCAGGUGGCGUGGCGGAACAAUGGGUGGGUAUGCAUCUCAGUACUCACAUACUGGUCCAGUCCGGGGAACAAUGCGAUUCCUAAGGCUCGUAAGGCAGCCAAGCCAGUCGGAACACUGCUCCACUCAUGUCUCUGCUGGAGGCAAAGUCAAAUCUUCUGCUGAAGUGGUUCUAGAACAGACCCAGCAACGCAUGGGCGUAAAGGUUUCCAACUAUUUUGCUAAAGAUACUACUUGAUUCAGCUCUUUUGGACAUGAAGUAGUUGAACUGGGAAUUCGAUCUGGUUCAUGCAACUAUUUUUCUCGAGUGCAGUACGUUCCAAUGGCUUAUCCAGACGACCCAGAAGGGUUAAGAUCUACUUAUGUUGCAGUACCUGACAGAAACUAAUUAUGGGGCCUCCCUAUUUAUGUCGCAAGCCGGUCUACUUUAUGGUCACUCCGAUCUCCAGUUUUUUAACUCAGUUUUCAUUUAAAAUUAAUUGAUUCGAUGGAUUUUGGUCACGGUUAUGCACAUACCAGUGCUCGCUGCUUCUAGUCUAUUAUGAUUUAUGUGGCAUGCAUCUCACUUCAGGCAAGGCAUCUGUGAAAGACACCAACAGGGUAGAAUACUUGAAUGUGGAGCACACAGGAUGCAUUAAGGCUAGUCGUUCAAACAAAUUCCACCAAGAAUUUUCAUGAAACCUUGAGAGAUUAAUCCCUCUUUGAUAUUAUCUUCAGUUCGUACUUGGCCAUAAUGGGAUACCAGGAAAUAUGCUUCUCAUCAGUCGGAAUAGUUAUUGUCGACAUGAUAAUAUUAGGUGUUGUGCAUAUUGCCAGUUUCUAUUGUUUCUAAGAGCUGAAAGAAGCCAGCCAUUCUAAAAUGUCUAACUGCACUUCUAGCAAAGAGGCAACACUUGAUAGUGUGCCGAUAUCUGUAGGUAAGAUUGUAGGAUGUGUUCUCGCUUUUUUACCUUGUCGGGCUUUACGUUUUUGCUCUACAUUUGUUAAUUUAGCAAUCUGUUCUAUAGCAUUCUACUUAUUUUUUAUUCA